UCAUUGACACUUUCCAGUAGACACAGGCUCCUCUGAGGGUGCGUGUAGCAUGUAGUAUCUAUGGUGCUGUGUUCCUCUUCCCCUUCUGCCUGCAGGCAAGAGAAGGAAAGAGGGAGCACGUAGGGAUCACUAAGGACAAUCCAGGCAGCCGACUCUGAGAGUCCAACUAACAGAUGUGCUAACCGGGCGUCCUGGUAAGUUUUAGAAAAUGCAGAUGCCACUAAAUUCUCCAGCUAUGACCUUUGUAGAACAGACCAGCAAGAAAUCUGCUUUCAGAGUCUUCUGGGGACAGCAGGAAUGAGGAAGAGGGGAGAGUAUCUCCUCUCCAGGUACCUGGUGAUGCUGGACCUCUCCGGCUGUGCCAGGAGCAUGCAUGAAAAGCAGAGUCCUUCACAGGCACGUAAAGGAUUGGUCAGCAGCCAGGAAACGUGGGUUCUAGAAUCUGACUUCAGCAACUGAGAUGUCUAAUGUGGAUCUACAUACCAGCUUUGGAUGCAUGGAUUCAGAUUGAACUUAGGGUAUCUUCCAUGCUAAGCAAAUGUUUGGCCACUGAAUACACCUCCAGCCAACAAGCACAUCCUGGAUAGAUGGAUGAGUAGAUGAGUAUGGAGUGGAUCCAAUACUAGACAGCAAACCCGAGUCCUCGUGUGUGAGCCUCCUCCAUUUCCUAAAGCCCUUGCCCUCAAGAGUACAUGGGCCUUGUAAUAGUCUUUCUUUUGGGGAGGGGAGGUGUUCGAGACAGGAUUUCUCUACAUAGCCUUGGCCACCCUAGAGCUUGUUCUGAAGACUAGACUGGCCUUGAACUCACAGAGACCUGCUUGGAAUUAAAGUGCUGGAAUUAAAGGCCUGCACCACCACCAUCACCUUGCUCGGCCUUAUAAUAUUCUUGCUCAGUCCAGUGACAAGGAAGUACCAGACCGCUCCAAAUGGUGGGACUCUCUCCAGAAUAACCCCUGCAGCUGAACGAGAACAUUGGUCAUGGCAGAACAGAGAAUGCCACGUGACAACAGCCCUGAUUAAAAUGGCAUGACAACUAAAUGACCACAGACAAGAGACAAACGGACAGAAAGUGCACUCUUGGGACAACUGCUGAAUACAGGACACACAGAUGAGUCAAUGGUCCUGAGUUCAAUUCCCAGCAACCACAUGGUGGC
rnacentral:sRNA from 1 species